CUCAUUUCUAAUAAUGACAAUCAGUCUGUCUGUCUCCAGGUGUUGUGUUUUACAGAAAUUCAGAGGUUCGAUUUCUGUGUGGCCACCUUUCUUCAAUAAGCUCUGAAACACAAAUAAAUCAUUGCAACAAAUGUCAUCAGGGUCAUAAUGAGACUCCCCUGUAAGGAAGCCAGAAGGAAAACCAUGAAAGGAAGUCUUUCAAUUAACUAGCAACAAGUGAUGACUCAGCAACUGAUCUACCUGCCCAAGAUAUUGGAAGCCUGUUUAUUAUUAUUGUUAACAUUCUCACCCAAGGCAGGAAUUGAGUGGUGUUCCUUAAGUAUAUCAGCACACAAACAAGAAAGAAUUUUCAAAGGGGCCCAUUUCUUCUUUGUGCUGGUCACAAUGGCUCUGUUGGAUUUCCUCUUAUUCUGCUGCAUCUUCAGAUUACCUGCUGGGUUCACUUCCGCCUUGGCAUCUUCCUGGCACUGGUUCAAUUCUGGAACAUUCUUAGGUUUUUCAGUUUCAACUCUUAUCUCUGCUGCUAUAUCAGGAGGCACAGAGUCCGGUGGCAAAACGAAAGAAGAGUCAGCUUCACAGGUUCUGUCAGAAAUGCCGCACAGGGACUGAGGACUGCCCGCCAAACAGUCUAAGGCCAUGGACAUUUCCAAAGAAUAGCUGCUGGGGUCAGAAAGAUAAGACUGUAGUUGGGAAAAUGACUGUUUUGGGCAUUUUUCAGGAGGAGAAACACUUUCAGACUUAUUUGGUGAUAGAUCACAAAAAAGGAGCAAAUUGUCAUUUUUGCCAGAAGCUGCAAGUGAAUUUUUAUCAAGUUUUGCAAAUUUCUGGAAGUACUGCUUUACCAAAAUGCUGGAAUGGAGUCCCGCCUCAGGUGAAUAUGUUGUAGCUUCCUGUAUGGCACAGUGAAGGCCCGGCAAAACAGAGGUUACUUUUAAAGAGAUCUCGUUGAAUUUGUUUUCACAAUUCAAUUCCUGUUUUUUUACUGGGGGGAAAAAAAACAGUACUUCAAUAAUAUAAUAAUAUGAUCACGCAGACACACAAACAUAUCAAUGCUAAAGUAAUGUUAAAGGUCUGAAAAACCCACAAAAAGUUAUCCCAGAAACAUUCUCCUCACUUUGAUGGAUGCUUUUAACUCCUGCUAAAGAUAAGGAGAGUUCCACGUGGAUAACAAACAUAGACUAGACCCCUCAGAGUCAAGAAAGAAAUUCUCUUUCAUUAGCUUGCCCUGUUGUGCAAGUUAUUACAGAGGCUUUAGAGAAAAGUGUAACAUUACAUAUCAUACACAGAUCAAAUUCAGUUAUCUGAAUGUUUCCAAGGAAAUCUGAAAUGCUGGGAUAAACAGAGUUUUGAAUAAAUGAAUUUUCGGUUCCAUACCAAUUUAAAAUUUAAGAUACCUUAAAAUUCAGGUAACUGGGGUUGGCCUAUGCUGUUUAUCUCCCUGUUUAGAUGCUACUUUCAAUAGUAUUUGCAUCUUUACUAUGCUGACCGCUGGAGAAAGUAAUUGGCUUGGAAACUACAGGUCUACUAAACAAAACACAUAUAGUAUGUUGUGCAGAAUAGGGAAAAGAGGGCAUAAACAGGAGGUGUUAACGUAAUACAAAUAAAUAAUGCCAGAAUGCUAGUCUCAGCUGGACACAUUGCCUUUAAUGGGGCCAGGAUUUCACCCAAUGGGAGUUUUACCAUUGACUUCAAUGCGGCCAGAAUUUUACCACUCAUUGUCUUCAACAUUAGGGAAAGAGACAACUUGCUGAAGGUACGGAUCUCCAUUUGUUAAAUGCCCCUGCUAUUUGAGGGAAUUAAAUUGAAGGUAGAGUCAGAUGUUUUUCAACCACACCCAUUUCAUGAAUAACCAAUGUGAGACAUGGCUUGCUGGGUUUCGCCAGAUGCCCAACUUGUGCAACCUGCUUCAUUAUUUAGCCUACUGCAAUCUCACAAUUGCAACACAAGCCCUUGUGAGCCCAAGACUUGAUUGACAUAUGUCACUCUUAGCAAGGCUCCCAGCAGUGCUGCUCUGCAGCCUGUUGCUUGUUCAAGAACACAGCAGCACAUUUGUUCACUGGGUUGAGCAACCGCAACCAUAUUACACGUAUCCUACAUUCUUCACAUCAGGUGGGCUUCAGAGCCCAAGCUCCAACUUGAGCUGAAACUUCCAAGUGCUGUUUACACAGCUAUUUUAAAAGCACUAGCACCAGGCCUGCAAGCCCAAGUCUGUUGAGCGGGGAUGGGAGGCUUGCUGCCAAAUGAUGUGCAGAUAUACCAGGGGCAAGCAAACUUUUUGGCCUGAGGGCCGCAUCGGGUUUCUGAAAUUGU